rnacentral:rRNA from 1 species
UACGAAGGGGGCUAGCGUUGCUCGGAAUUACUGGGCGUAAGCGCACGUAGGCGGCUUUCUAAGUCGGGGGUGAAAUCCUGGAGCUCAACUCCAGAACUGCCUUCGAUACUGGAAAGCUCGAGUCCGGGAGAGGUGAGUGGAACUGCGAGUGUAGAGGUGAAAUUCGUAGAUAUUCGCAAGAACACCAGUGGCGAAGGCGGCUCACUGGCCCGGUACUGACGCUGAGGUGCGAAAGCGUGGGGAGCAAACAGG